AUCAAAUCUCUAUGAACCAAUGUAUUUGACCCCUCGAUAAAAUAUGAUUUUACACUUAUUAAAAAUCUUACAAAAGUAUUCAAUAUGUUCUAAAAUGAUUUCUUUCUGUAGCUACCCCUCCCACCCCUGCAUUUGUAAUGAGGCCAUCCAGAGGGACGAACUCCAUAAUUAUGUUUAACUCAUCCGCUGUCUUCAGAUUCCAAACAUAACUUUUUUAGCGUAGAAACGGAUAAACGACGCAGCACAUCGUACAUAUUUACCGCAACAAUGGGUCAAAAUUCAGUGGAUGCAGUCAAGUUUCACCGGAAGAUGAAUUGGGCAAUGCCUAGGACGGUAGUUACUAUAAAGAAAAACGGUAGUAAAACAUACAAACAAGGAAGAGGUGUAGACGUCACAGUCUACGGUAACGCUGAAGUGGUCGUCACCUAUUUUGUUGAUAUACCCACAAAGUGGACUUAAAAGGGAUUGCUAACUGAGCUUAGUACACCACAAUUCAUCAUUUCUAAAAAAUGAAGAUACCGGUACAAUCUCCAUUAGCAACGGACCACGUGCUUCCUUCGAGUCAGCAACAGCAACCCAGGUCAUAUACAGUUCCAGAGCCAAUGAAAAAUGUUGGCUCAUCAAGGAUUUGAACACAGCAUCGCUCGGCAUAAACAGCGACGGUUUCAUUAUAGUUUAGUAAGUUAAAAUUAAAUAGAUGGCAUAUACAUGC